UACGGAGGGUGCGAGCGUUAAUCGGAAUUACUGGGCGUAAAGCGCGCGUAGGCGGCUAAGUAAGCCGGUUGUGAAAGCCCCGGGCUCAACCUGGGAAUGGCAUCCGGAACUGGCAGGCUAGAGUCUUGUAGAGGGGGGUAGAAUUCCAGGUGUAGCGGUGAAAUGCGUAGAGAUCGGGAGGAAUACCAGUGGCGAAGGCGGCCGUCUGGUCUGACACUGACGCGGAGGUGGGAAAGCGUGGGUAGCAAACAGG
rnacentral:misc_RNA from 1 species